GAUGUACACUGUGACCUUACACGAUUCUCACAUCACUCAUCUCUCAUUUUAGGCAAAGUGAGAGGUGAAAAACACUUCCAACUGGAAAUGGCAAUAAAACACUGCCUUACAGAAUUGUAAGGUCUGUGUCACACAGGCAACGACGGGAGAAAACUCCCAAUCUUUGAGUUGAUUUGGAUGCAGUUGGUGGUGGCACAACAAACGGUCCAACAUGGUGUGGCUGAGUUUGCAUGUGUGCACAUCUGUCGGUCUGAUCCUGGCCUAAUGGACUUUAGCCCCUGCAUUUCUGACAGGAAAUCAAUGACCCACUCGGUAGACUCAAUGAUGCUUCAUCGAGAGCGAGAGCGAGAGAGAGAGAGAGAGAGAGAGAGAGCUGUUCAUGUCUGUGGCUUAUGUGAUGGAAUUGUCACACAUUUACUAUUUCCAUUGAAUCUUGAUUUCCAUUGUGAGCUCUAAUCUUGGUAAGCUUUCACACAACCUUGUGGACUGAGUUGACACACAGAUUAAUACACUGGAUGCACAAAUGCAAUUUUAAAUUUUACUUCUGGGAAGCAUUAGGCCAGAGACUUCCAGCAGAACAUCCCACAAUGGGGUCAGGUUAACAAGAUUUUUGUAGAACUUUAAACAGUCAUUAGACGAGGCUUUCAAAUAACAGACCGACAAAAUUGACGGAAAUGGAAGGAAGAGAUCAACGCAAUACCACAGUGCAGAUUAUGCACAGCGCCAUGGUGCAUUCUGGCAGUCAAAAGAUGGUUAUUUUCUGAGUCUGAGGCAAGGAAUGUGGGCGAUGUGUACAAAUCUGCAAUGAAGGUGUCAGUACUCAAAGUUAGAUUAGAACUUUAGGAUGAACUAGCUCUAAUGAUCCCUUUGCGGGAAUCAGUUUGGUGGAGUGGCAAAAGUAAUAUGAUUCAACAGCAAAAACGGCUAACAUAUUAAAUAAGCAAUGAUAUAGCAGAGAAAAUGGAAAAGCAAUGAAGAAUAUCAAAAGCUAAGUAUAGAACAUAAACCGGCUGAGCUUCUGUUAUUGCAUUUACUUUUAAUAGUUUUCAUACAGACAGCUUGCGCUUGUCAUGUUAAAUAGAUUAUGAAUAUGUGCUUUCUGCAAAAUAUGUGUUUGAGGUUGAUAAUUGACUUGUUCUUUCAUUUAGGCGCUGAUCUGGAGCUUUUAAUCCAUUUAAAUGAUCUUCAUCAACAGAAGAAUAUAUUGAAAUUUGAACAACUCCAUUUCAUGGGGAAGCUCGUGCAAUAUGACUGAAAGAAGAGCCGCUACAAAACGGGCCCUCGGGUGAAAUUGUUUACUCAAUACAUUAUAGUUGUUUUUCAGAUAUUGACAGACAAACCUUUUAGCUCUGAGCAAACUGCUGAUGAAGAUACUGAGAUGUAAAUGAAAGUUGAUCUAGAUUUAAUGUGGUUUGUUUUCAUCAAAUACAUUUAUUUAGUAUUUAUGGAUGUAAUGCAAUGAAGUAUUAGCCUGUUCUGCAUGAGCCAAAGUGAAAAACCUAUAUAUUUUUUUGUUGUCUGUUGAGAGCAAAGAAGAAAAUAGCGAAUAUGGGGCAGAGCUAGAAAAGCCUGCAGUGUAGGGAUGCCAUGUUGAAAAUGACUUUGACAGAAAAAGGGUUUGUGUCCUGUUUCCUCUAAACAGACAAUGUUUGUAUUUUUAUCAAUGACAAUGUAAUCUUUGUGCCUAAAUCCAACAAAACCCUAAAGGAAUAUUGUGACACUUUGAGGAAAAUAUCCUCAUUAUUAUCCUUGAGUAAAGUAGAGUUAUAGAAGAGGACGUUGUCAUUGCUAUGUUUGAGAUAUCGUAUACAUUCUUUUUGCUCAAUGAAUCUCACUAAACAGAUUUUGCAUUCACGUGCAGAUGGUUUACGUAUCAAAAGUGUUUUAGUUUGCAGUCGGGUAUAUUGUCUACGUGGAACCCGGCGGCUGUCGUCGUCUCACGACAUACAGCUUUUUGUUGACAGUUCGACGUGGGACAUGCAGCAGCCGGGGUUCCAACCCUGCAGUUUCCGGCGCACCCUCUGUACUCCAUGGGCCGCGGUGGCGUCAAUGUAUUCACGCAAAGCUCAUGAACAGCAUCGAAAAAGAUGGGACGGAACAGGGGAGAGGUGAAUGGAACUCAAUUGAGCGUCAUAGUAACUGAAAAGUACCGUAGAAAAGUCAAAGACACACAGAACCGCAGGAACACAAGACAAUUCAAGGACCCUGAACCCAGCAGGGCCGAGGCAGAGGUGAAUCCAAUCUGGCAGCAUGCAGGAGGUCAGCGGACAAACCCUGCCGUGUGGAUUUCUCUGCAAAACACUGGAUCACAUGUUAAUCUCAGUUUAAUACACAAAUCCCCAACCCCAAUCCAAUCAAAUCUAAUACCCCUGGCUGGGCCAGCCACGGCCAAUCCCACCAGCUCUCCAUCCCUCCCUUCAUCUCAUCGAACGCUGACAUCACGUUAGAACAUCCCCGUCGACGUGUAACGACACAGAAGCGUGUUCGCAAGAAACGGCAUGCUACACUCACAGAUACACACUCGGAGCUAGAGAUACACGUAGAGCCUGAAAUUAGAAGUGGAUUUUCGACCACGCCAGUGUACAUACACAUUGGUAGUAAAAUAAAUUGCGUAUUGUUUAAACAAGACGAGCGAAUGGACGGGUGGGGAGGGUUGGCGGCGGGGGCCUGCAAUGCAGAGAAAGGGAAAUACGUAUGUGUGUGAAUCGCCCAGCCGGCGGUGUUUAACGCUGUCCCAGAGGGUUUUAAUCCAGAUUAUCAGGAGUAUAAAGUCACUCAGUCUGCUGCUCUACUCGGCCUAACCUACCGCUUAGGGCACAAACACACACACACACACACACACACACACACACACACACACACACACACACACACACACAUUCCGUCUUUCCCCUCUUUAAGUCCUUUUCCCACACACAUGAAAGGAGUCCUGUUUUCAGAUUAUCCUCUAGGGGGUGCUGUGUAUCCAGACAGCCAGCAUCCCCCCCUCCCCCUGUUGGUGUUAUAGCGUACUUUCCAUUCUGACCCAGGCGCCCCCCUCGGUUGCUGCUCGCCCUGCUGCGUAAAAGACCUGAGAACAACCGCACUCAGCUUGACCUAUUUCAAUGAAUUCACAGCGCUGUUGUUGCCUCAUUUGACGUUGAUGCAUGACGCCUUCGCCCGACAGAUCCUCCGUUGUUUUACACGGUAUUAAAUCUGGAUCAUGAUGCAGCAAUCAGUGCAGACAUCUAUAUGCGCACUGUCUGAACCAAACCGAGGUGCUGGGUAUCCAUCCACUAUGCAGACAGCUGCUCCAUCAUUUACACACGGCGGUGCGAUCUACAUAUCUCCCAGUUGGUCUGGAUUAAUUUCAGCAUGUUAAAUCUGAUGGUGGAGAUUGAUGCUCGCGGCAGGGAGGGGUAGUGUGUGUACAUUUCCUCAUAUUCGCAUGCCGGCUGACACGUCCCAGUGACAGGCAGUCUGAUUGGAUCACAGCUAGUCAUUUUCCACCCAAAUAGACAGCAAAUGAAACGUCUCUGCUACAUGCUGUGUUUGUGCCUGGUCAGAAUCCAGAACAAGCUCGGGCCUUUCUUUCCUUUCCUCUAAAUACCUAAUAUCUAAACAGACCCUUUUUUCCCUUUCAGUCUCUGUCCAGCAUCUUGUCUCUAUUGCUCUAAUCUCACUUUCCUCCCACCGAUCCAACCGCAUUUUCCACCACGUGCAUGUUUCCUGUUGCUCUGUGAUUUGGGUUGAAAACAGCACUAACCUGCAGAGACGAGAAGCUUCCUCAACGCGAGCUGUUCCUCUCGCUACUGUUGUCCUUAACGUUUUUCACUGGGAGCACUUAAUGGAAAUCAGCUGGAAAGCCAAGAAACAGGGUGGCCAAACCUUCAAGGACAAAGAUUAGGCUCGGUUAGGCUUAGGUGAGGAAGCUAUUUUGUGUCUAAGAAUGUGUUGAGAGAGCCUUGUGCUGCCAGUGGAGGAAGGAUCCACAGUAGCUAACGAGAUGUUUCAUAGGUUCAAAUAACUACACAUUUUGGAAUUUUUUGGCACACAACUAUUUAGUUUCUUUCUCCUGUGAUACCGUUUGUGGAUUUCAAAGAACCAUUAUUCCACUCAGCUCUGUGAUAUCGUUGAAGGCUUUAAAAACUGUGCCGGGUAACUUCCUACAUAGUUUACUGGCACGCACGCUUUGACAUGACAAUAACAGUGUCCAUAUUUGCGGGUGCUUUUAAUCAAUUACAAAGGAAGUGUUUCCAGCAGCUGUGGGGGGGCCUCUUCUGCUCCUUUUCUGAGUAAAUGCUGUCGUGCUCACACAGCCCCUUUUUGUCUUGUGCUGUACAGCGGGGGCGGUAAUUUACGAACAUGUAGAGGGAAACUUGUAAGGUCAGUAUUUCACACAGCUGAGCCAGAAUUUGUGUUUGCGCCGCACGCCAAACUACCAAAUUUCCGAGGCUCACAAACCGGCGGCCAUGAGGACGCCGCCAUUCAAGCGCGGGCCUCACGCCUCACCGCGGGGAGUAUUACCUACGCACCGGGAGGAAGAAACUAUCGGAUGCUGGAAUCGCUCCGAUGGAAUGAAAGUGCUCUCUCCCUGCCUGCUGCCCCGGGGGAACCCACAGCUUCAGCAGAAAUCGCGUCGAUUGAAAUGACAAUGGAAGUGACAUCGGUAUCACUGGACAGCUGCCAGCGAACCGAUCGAGGACCUUGUUGCAGUUUAGGGUACGUACGGGUAUUUUCCUAAUCUCUUAACAUCAACAUUUGUUUUUCAUUUUGCAACGUGUUUAUGCUUUACUUAUGCCAGAAUACAUACGUACCGCCAGUGUUGGAAUGCAGCACUUUGUUUUAACUGUAUGCAGUUAAACGGGUACAGUAACAGCGGCUUAGCGAAAAUAAGUUCAGGAGCAAACCGUGGACGUCAACACACACAACUCCCACGCACAUACACAUCCGGCUCUUAGGUUAUUACGGCCCGUCAUUGUCUAAUUCACACUCAUUAAAUGCUACAGAGAAUGACAAAAGCUCCUUGUUCUCCGACAGCCGCUUUGUUAACCCUCUCCCUCUUAUCUCUUUCCCGCCUCCCGUUCUUGCCCCUCUCUACUCUGCUUUGUAUCUAUUGUAUGACACUCAAGGACGACUUGACGGCAUCCCGAGCCACCACUUCCCUGUUCAUUCCAAAAUGAAACCUGCGAGAGAGAGAGAGAGAGAAAUACCAACAAUUUGCAAAAGCCUUGGAAUGUCACAUAGGAUUUGCCACUUACUGGUAACAUAAAACUUGCGGUGAUGCAGACAACGCUGAUGGCCUUGGCGGCCGUGACAGUGGUGAUAUAAGAUGUCAUAACCCUGCGUCCUUGCGCCGGUCGUCUUGGAACCAUCAAUUCGCUUGACCUUUAUCCAGGAAUCGGGGUCCAUCAUAGACUCAGAUCCUUUCUCUCGAUUUAUUUCACUCUCUUCGGAUCUACCCUGACAACGGUUGUAACAGAGUUUGGGAGUCCUCGUGUGUGUGUGUGUGAGGGACAGAAAGACUGAGGGAGACGGAGAGACGGAGCGAGGCUUCCCCCCGCAGUGCAUCCACGUAUAAGAAGCACAGCCACCUGAGAGCAGCGGAGCACAGAAUGGUGAAGAUGAGAGAAAAUGAAGAGACAAAAGCACUUCCCUGGUGUAAUUAUGCUUUCAUUUCAUGGCCAUGUAUCCACACGAUGUGCGCUGCAUGCAGAGAUGCUCAUUAGAGUCAUUGCACACUGGAAAUGUAACUGGCAUCUGCCAGCAGAGAGCGAAAGUGAGGGUGAAUCAUUUCAGCAAAGACGUGGAGGUUAUGGCUGAGCCGAGGUGUCCUGUGUCUUCAGACCUGCUCUUAAAGCUUUCAUCCAGGAGCCUUGAAAGAGAGCGCUUUUGCUUGCAUGUCUUUCUAAACAAACUGAUACGCAACAAUUCCUCUUUUUUUUUUUAAACAAACAAAGGCGUUUUGUUGAUAAUUAUUUUUGCAGUUGUUGCGUUUCCCUUUCAUGCCAGCAAAGGUUUUGUUGUUGCACAAACCGCCGUCUUUUUGUCCUUUCAAGGGGGGUUUGAAUCUCCGUUUCGGAUCAGAAAAGUCUCACUCGUGAUGCUCCUCAAAGCGCCACCACGAAUACAAACAACGCUCAAAGCGAAGCAGCAGAACUUCAGUGAAAAAUUCCUCCUGCAUCCCCUCAGCUAAUAAAGCAUCAGCAUCCUAAAGCUUGGAUCAAUGUUGCAACAAAUAGCUGUAAUGUCUCUGCCUGUGAGCGCUGUCAUGCCCUACCGGAGCACUGUCGAGGAGGAAUGUGAUGCUAAUGUAGUUAAAUCUGCACACUAAUUACUGCAGCAGGGACUCACUUCAUUAAAGGCCCCCCACUAAUGUGCAACUCUACUUUCUGUGUUUUUACUUGUUUGAGUCUCUAAUCUUCUAGUGAAACAUUAAGAGACGGAUGGAAAAGAGGAUUUGUGUGUGUGAAUAAAUAUAUGUGUGUGUGUGUGUGUGUGUGUCUCUUGGUUUUACUAGUGAUUUAAGAUUACGAGAAAACCUUAAAGAAAACUCAAGUGUCCAUGCAUUUGCACAAUAACGUUGUGGACACAUUCCUUUCUAAAUGUACAAAACAUGGAACUCUUUGGGAUUGAUCUAUCCUCAUCUAAACUGUCCCCAACUUUAAAACAAAACGUCCACUUACGUCUAGCUUUUUGUGACUUAGAAAUCAUGGAGGAUUGAUGGCUUUUAACUAGAUUUUUCUCAUCAUUUAUCGAAUGAAUAAUGACUGCUAAUGUAUCAAUGUUUCUUUUCAUCAGCAAGGCCACGUAGAGUGGUUUUACAGCACAAGGUGGAGGUUUACUGCUGCUGAGACACACCAAGAAGCUUCUUUGCUCCACCUUUGUCCCUAGAUACACUGCUGCUAGUUGCAAACUAUAUAUAUACACACACACACACACACACACACACACACACACACACACACACACACACACACACACACUCUCUCCUCUCACCAGGGUUUGGGAAUCCAGCAAUUAAUGGGGCGGUAAAUGAGAUUGUUACUGAUGUGUGGCAGCGAGGUGAGCAAGGUGUUGAGGUGAUGGAGGGAGAAAAGGAGGAAGACAGAGGAAAAGCCAGCCGGAGGAAAACGGCGUGAAGAUGUUGUGAUGCAAAUUAGAAACUUUUGAAUGUUUUAAAUUUAAGUUAAAGUCAUGGAAAUUGAUUUCCAUGCGCCACCGGAAAUUGCCCAUUUCUGUAAAGCAUGCAAGUUGCAAAAAUACAACAUUAAUGCUUCAAAAGCAGAAAACGUCACGACUCGAGUUUGCAUCAGCUCUGUGUGAGCGGUGGUGAGAUACUAAAAAAGAAAAGAAUGAGCAACAAAGCAUUAGUAACAUACAUUCAUUCGAAUUGUUCUGAGUUUUAUUUUUGUGCUGAAUUCCACUUUUCCUCAGCUUUCCAAACAAAUUAAGCUUCAUAUGUCUUCAACUGAAAACGCUUCGCUAUGGCUCUAAUGCGUUAUGGACAAUCCUUUCCUCAGUGGAGAUGUAAUUCUUCUGUAAUGGAUUUCUUCAUGUUUGAUCAAUGUAGACCGCUGACGCUCUUGAUUUAAGACUCCGCAGGAUGAACUCUUUAUCAAAAAUGUGACGUUGAUAGCAAUGUUUGGGCAAAAGCUCGACCAUUUCCUGCCACAGUACAUUAGUACAUGGCCAUUACUGCACGCAGAAAUUGAUCAAAUAUACAACCUUCAAAGAAGGAUGCAGUACUUUCCACCGACUUAGCUUGCCAAUGAUUUUUUGUAAGUCUUUAAAAAAGAGUCUUUGCUUCUAAGUUGUGCUUUAUCUCCCUCCUGGCGGCACACAAUAUGAUCCACAUCCGCUGACAGACUGAUCUGAAUUGCUAAUUACCUCUGCUUUGCCAUUUGUCUUCCUCAUUGCUGAUCCCCAACCGCAGCAGGGGCCCUGGAAUAUCAUGCUUCCAUGUGUGGGGGCGGUCAAACAACCCCCCCCCCACACAGGGGGAGGGAGCAUCUAGAGGAAAAGCUAUCCAUUCAUACAAUGUAAUCCAGAGGACACACUAUAGCGCUGGACAGGAGGAGGAAAACCCUAAAGCAUGAGCUUGAGGUCACUUGUAUACUGCACACACACACACACACACACACAAACGAAAAAAACACACAUUCCAUUCACAAGUACACACACACACAUGCAUAAUAACAUUACCUCAUGUAGCCAUAGAUCUGUCACGGACAGCAGACCCUCGUGUGAAUAUGUAUAACCUGGUAUUACAUGUCAUUUUCAUGUCAUUAGUCAAGGUAUAGAUUUACAUAAUCUGCCAUGGUUUCAUCCUAUAAUAAACAUUUAGCAAUUUGCUUCAUUAUACUGUGAUUUUUUGUUUCGGAUGUGAAGCAAUUUAAUUUCCAUUAUAAAGACAGUUGAGUAGUUUUGAAAAUGUCUUCUGUCUGAUUUGUUUUCUUUGUACGCGCGGUGCUGCGUUCACAUGCGUUAGCGAGAGCAGCGGCACGCGUAAUGUGUCAUUGAAUGUGUCUAAUGAUUGUCAACAGUUUGCGUGACCCAUCAUGUUUCCCUGCCUCGCUAUUGGGUGUAUUGCUGUUGUUGUUUUUUUUGUCACCGUGUUUCUCAGUAAUCUUUUGGACUGCACAUGACACAAUUUGUUAAUAUGUUGUCUAAUCAUGGCUCAAACCAUGGGUAUAAUAAAAUGCUAACGUUUAUAGCAUUAUGGUGAAUCUGCUGAGCUUCUCAAAGGACCCAGUCUGUUCCCUCACUGUUACUGUUCCACACUUCCACACCUCUGUGUUAUUUAACUGUAAAACUCAUCAAGAAAAAAUGAGAGCCAGUUUCUUUUAGCAACUAAAACGCUAUAUUUUACAAAUAGCAAUUAUAAUAAUCCGACAUCCAAGUUAUGUAAAUUGGGAUGAGAAACAGCCAUAAAACAGUCUAAAAGACUAAGAGGAGAAGAGUCUAAGAAUGAUUUCCCCCACUGGGUUUGUCAUUAUUUCCAGAAAGACGGCAGUAUUCCUUUGACGUCCCAUUUACAACGAGCCCCUGCUGUGGGAAAAUACAAUCCAUUUACAUGGACUUAUCAAACUCGAAGACGCACAAAAUAAAUGAGAACCAUCCAUGCAUAAUACAUUUAAUAUUUAAAAAAAGCUGGAAACAUAUUUUAUCUAUAUGACCACGCCUUUGGCAUAUAACAACCUUUCCAAUUUCCAGCUGUCACUCAAAUUAUAUUAUUGCAGUCUUCCUGCAAAAAUAUCAAGCUGGGAGUAGAAUCAAUUGGACAUGGCACAAAUGGUAAUGAUAUAAUCAAUAUGCAUCAUGUUCUGUGUUUUGGAUAAGCCAGUUAAUCUUACUAAUGACUAUUCUUUAAAGUGACUAAGUGAAGCAUAAUGACACAUUUCAAAUGCUCCACUUGUCCUCUCAUUCCGGUUGGGCCUGUGCUCAGAAUUGAAUCUCCUCAACAGAACAAAUUGACUGCAUGCAGUGAGCGAGGAAGCACUGUGACCUUUUCCCAGACAGUUCCACUGUAGAGGGGAGCUCCUGUUUCAUAUCUACUGUGUACAAUUGAAAAAGAUAGCGGUUGAAUAGGCAGCCCAUUCCACUGACUCUACCGAGAAUAAAUCUAUAUGUCCUCCCUCCUGCCCCUCUCAUACCUUUCCGAAACGUACUUGCAGAAGGCCCCAACCAAUAAAACCUGCUUUUCAUAUUUCUUGAGGGUAGAGGCGUGCUAAGUUUGGGGAAAUUGCCGAAUAGAAAGGACAAAAUAUGGCUUAAAGAUAAGAGAGAUCAGAGGGACUAGCUUCUUCAGGCUCUGAUUUACACUCCGGUGAUGGAGACAAGGGGGGAAGCCUUGAGCUAACUGCCUGUUGGCUGCAGACAUUAGCAUUUUGGUGGGUGAUUUCCAUACUACAAUUACAUAUUGGUAAGAUUAAGAAUAGGUGACUGACAGAUUAUGCCUGGAAUUCUAAGAGAAAUUACUUUAGAGUGAGAUAGUUCCUGUGAGACAAGCCUUGAAGGUAUAUAUAUAUGUGUGUGUGCGUGUGUGUGUGUUUUUAUCUGUCAGCUUCUUUUAUUUCUUCUCCAUCACCAUCCACCUGUCCGGCUAGUGGCCCCUGUCUCCAUCUGUCCUCUAAGAUUGAGCAACAUUUGAUGUGACACCUUACAAACAUCCAGAGACGACCAAAUGAACAGAAAAAAUGGGGGCAGUUUAAAUGCCAACUGGAUUUGGAGGCGUCAGUCGUUCAGCCCUCAACCUAUUUCUCCUUCUGCUGUAUAUUGAACAAUAAACGACACAAUAUUCCAUCACCGUGUUGCUACAUUGGCAUGAUGUGAGUAUUUGUGUGUGACAGAGGGACUGGGAGCUCUGUGCGCGUGUUUGUGUGUGUGUGUGUGUGUGUGUGUGUGUGUGUGUGUGUUGCAGAGUUGAUUGAUGGACGGAUGAUGACAGGACUGUCAUGCAAGGGUUGUCAUGCAUUUUCUUAUUUGUCUGCCUGGAAAACGAUGCAUGCCUCAAAGUGCUCCCUGCUCACUCACACACAAGCACACACGAACGCACAAUCACAAACACGCACAUUUGAAAAUGCCCACAGAUCAAUACCAGCACAUCCAGACAUACGCGUGCCGUGUCGCGCUGGCUGAUGUGUUAGUUAUGUGCUAACUCCCACUGGCAGACAGGAGUUUUACAUAAGGCGGGAGGAGAGAACAGAUAACGGAGCAGCGGAGGGAGGGAGGGAAUAGGGAGAGAUGAGGGGUAAAAAGAGAGGAAGGGGAAAUGGAGGCAGAUCAACUAGAGCACCAGGCAAUCAAAGUGAAAACAUGCUUAAGGGAUACAACAUGCAGACAAAAAUGAAGUUGAAAUCGAGAAUAAAACACAUUGAGUUGUCUCAGAUGUCACGUUCCUGUUUGUUGUGUUCAAGCUGUUCCUUGACCAACCUCUACCAUGCAUUUGAUGUGGAGGUAGAACGGCAUCCAGUACAACGGGCAUUGGUGUCAGGGGAAGAGAAAUUAUGGUUCGACUUCAUUAUAAUUUUCUCCAGUCGUGGAGCCCAGAAAUGCUCCUUUAAUCAGCACACUUCAUGUGAGAUUUUCCAACGUGACAACCGUCUGGGUAAAAAAAAGAUUCUGCUAGCAUUUUUCUUGUUUGCACCGCGGAGCUUCAUAUAACCGGUUCCAAAGCUGAAGAGACGGUUUUCAAUUGAAUGGAAGCGCUCUAAAGGAAUCUUGAGUGGGACUCGUGGGAAACAGAUCGUCAAAAUCUCAGCAGCAGAUGUCUGAGACAACCAGACUUUUAUUCCACAAAAUAUAAAACAUUUGAUUCCACAAUUUAUGUAAUAUGCCAUCUUUCCGCAGCCCCUACAAUGUCCCAAUUAGAAACAUAGACUUUCUUUUACAAAUAUGGACUCUUCAGAUUAAUUUAAAAUUAGGCAUGAAAUCCUCAGGAGUCGUUUUGAGGCUAAAACGAGACCUCGCCAAAGUCAAAAAGAUACCUGUGUCCACAGGAAAAGUCCCUAACCUGACCUUCAGGUAAACACAGCAGCCAAUCACAGCCCCGCUCACCGAAAUCACAUCUUUAAGAAUCAAUCGGGAUCAACCGGGCUCGGGCACGAGGCGUCUGCGCUAAAGCAGCCGCUCAGAGACCUGUUAGCUUCACGCUGCGGAUCGCUGAAAACACAUCAGCAUCCCAGACACCUCAUUACAGUCAUCUCUCUCUCUCUCUUCCUCUUCUUGUCUGCCUCUAUUGCCAAUGCUCAAUCUUUCUCCUUCUCCCCCUCGAACAAACACACACACACACACACACACAGCAAUACUCAUUACACCCAUCCUCAUUGUCCAGGAAGUGGAAGCGAAAGCUUUAUUUUUUUCUUGUUAUUUCCGUCACCCCUCAGCUUUGUCGGUUCUUGGCCUCCUCUAAGAUAAUACCCAUUUAUCCCACAGUGUGUUUACACAAGCGAUUCAGGUUAAGUGACUUGCUGAGAGGAAUGACGGACGGCAGCUUUCCUUUCCACAAAGAAAAUUGGAUUCAUCAACUACUGCUUAAUGCUUGCAUUCAAGCUCCUGACUGCGCUCCGUCUCACACAUUAUAAGGCGUUCGUGGUGUAUUCAUUCUUGUGUUUGCUCACAUGUAUCCCCGAAUAAAUGCCAGAACCUUAUGAUCUCAAUAUGGGAGAUGAGCUAUAGAGGAAUACGCUAUUUGUUUUUUUUUCUAUCAAUGCUCAACAGCUGUAAAGCUUGGAGCAUUUACAACCUUGUCAGAGUCACUUGUAAAGAUUUCUACAGGUUUCCCCAACAUAAAAUACAGUGGUAAAAGGUCGCGGAUGGACUAUGCUAAUAUUGAGGUCCAGGUAAUCCAGGUGACAAUUAAAAAUAAUAAAUACAAUAAAAAAUUAAAAUAAUCUUUCUCGAGGCUCCGCCUCACCUUUCUCCCCUGGACGCACAUCGCCGGGCAACAAGUCCUGCAAAAUGUCAACCUGCACAUUUUUGCACGUUUGUGUUGAAUUAUUGCUGUGCUUAGCUGUGGCUUCUUUUUAAAUUGGCUCAAAACAGCUUGAAGGAGCAGUUCACCCUAAAAGGAAAUUUCUUUUUAUCUUUUUAUAUGGGCCAUUUGGCUUGGGAGUUAAUCCCCCAAAAAACACUAUUCAAAACACAAAAGCAUGACCUGUCGGGAGAAAAUGGAUGGACAUUUUAUGGUUAAAGGUAAAUGGUCUAGAUUGGCAUGAAGUACAUUUUUAUCGAUUUUGCAUCACAGUAUUUACACCCAUAAUGAGAGCUUAACCUGCUGCGACCAGUAGCUCUGCAAGUGCAAGGUUAUGGUUUCUGCCUGAAUAAAAUACUACAUUCCAAUAAUCGUUUUUAUCAUGAGGCGUAUUAUUGCUCAAUAAACUGUAAAACUCCACAUAGUCACAGUACACCGUCAAGAAAUAGGAAAAAAAACAUGUAUGUAUGUAUCUUAUUAAGGAAACAAUAAGAGUUGUAUUAACGCUGUUUCCUCUCCUCACGCUCGCUAACCUACUUACCUCCCUAAAGGGUGUUGGAUGGCGAAACAUUUCAUUCUGGUUCGUAACUCUGGUCGGGUUUUUUUUUUUUUCUUCAUUGUAAUUAGUUUCCGUGGGACAACAAACCAUCAAACUGUGCACACUGUUUCUGAUUUAUGAAGCAUUUAAAAGGUUGCUGUGGGGGAGGUGGCCAAAAGGUUCCCAACCAAAUAAAGCCGGCCUCCGCCAAGCUCUCAGAGAGAGAGAGAGAGAGAGAGAGAGAGAGAGCCUUCAUGAUUAACUUCCAUUUCCUAUGCCUUAUUAUUCCUUCUCCAAAUGAAAUUUCAGAGGAAGAGAUAAAUCUUCUGGCGGAGCCCGGUUUUGUGCACCUAACGUCCAGGAAUAGCUACGGCCCGCCACAGCUCGGCUUAUCGCUUUAAAUUCACAGCAAACUAGCUGUCUAGCUCGCCCCGGCUGUAUGAAAGCCUGCUUUACUUUAGUAUGUUUGUGUGUGUGUGUGUGUGUGUGUGUGUGUGUGAGAGGAAAUAAGGUCGUCACUCAGUCUACCUCAGGUUGAUAUUUAUAGAUAUGGACGGAGCAUCUAUAUGUGUGUGUGCCAUGUGAUAUGUGGGCCGCGGGUUUGAGGCUCACGUAAUGGUUAUAAGGCGAUCAAUAGAAUUGAAGGCACGUCUCAAACAGCCUUUUAAUCACAUUCCUCUCGGCCGAUUUUCUAGAUGGACACGUAGAUAAGUAGGUAUUGACGCCCCGGCUCGUCCAUCCAUCCUGCUCAUAAUGCCGUUGUAGUUAGAGGGCUGAAUGUUCAUUGUCUCCUCUGUGAACAACCUUUUUCCCUUUUUCACAUAAAAUCCAACCGGAACGCCAUUAGAUUUGCUUGUUGGACACAUGAAAUAAAUAUACUAUGCUAUUGAACAAUAGGUUUUAGGCUUUUGUCUUUAACUAGAUUACCCCAAGGCUAAUUAUGGAUAGAAUAAUAUGUAAGACCUUAAAUCAUCCCAACAACACAAGCUCACAUAAAAUGAUGCAUUUUGUAAAUAAAAUGAAUGAAAACAUACUUUAUAAACCUUUGAAUGAUUUUGGCAUUUAAUCGAAUAAAAGCAUAAUUCACACAAUCACUUUCUCUCUCGGCCGUUGUUUCAUCAUUAUUUUUGUAAUCCGGCUCUUGCAGCUACAAUCCUGGAAAUACAAAUAUUACCCCAAACAUUAUUGAGCAUCAAUAUGUCCUUGUCUAAGAAAUAGUGAUACAUUGGUAUAACUAUUGCAAAAAAAAACUCGAUUUUGGAUGAUGUGAUGUUUCUCAUCACCCAUAUGCCAGUUUCUGCGGCCAGGUUUUGUCUUUCUGAAGCGGAUACACACGUUCAAGCAUGCAAGUGAGUUCUCCAUCAGCCUUUUUAGUUCUUCCACCAUCUGCCACCACGAGAAAGUCUCAAAGCUUCAGCUACGUCUUUAAAGGAAAAACAAUACCCGGCUUUCUGUUUUAGUGUGUUAAAACAAAUUUGCAGACUUCCAGCAUAUUUAUGAAGGAAUACCUAAACAUGUGUGGACCACACCGCCAGUCUUCAUAGCCUGUUAACAUUAGAACAAUCAUUUGGAGAGUUAAUGUUCUCAUGGUUUCGUUCUUAUGUGAACCAUCAACUGAUUUCUUAUUGUGCAGCCUGAAAUCUUUUUAAGAAUUUUCUCUGCACCUUAAAAUUCAAGCGACAUGAUCACACAGGUAUACGUGGAAGGACAACGACUUCUGAACAGGGCGCAACACCAUGGAGGCGUUAGACGCGUAAAAACUGACGUGCUAUCCUCAUGAAAAUGAUUUAUGUUGGGGUGUGCUGUUGGGGUUGUGAACGUUUUAGGGAUUUAAGAUACAUCAUACUAAGCAUUUCAUUCUGAAAUUCAGCAUUUGUGGCGCUCAUGUCUCAAAAGUCUCAGCAGAUGGCCAGUCAUAUAUUUAUAUUCCAAGUCUGGUCCACAUACCAGUCAUGAAAAUAUAUGUAUGCAUGCUUCUAGACCACCGAGACUCAUUAUAAUAUGAAGGAUACCAAAGAAAUGUUUCCUCUCCUUGUAUCUUUUGCUUCACACACUGUACACCAUUUACUUACUUGCUCAUACUUCAAUCAAAAUGUGUGGUAAUAAAUUCACUGUAAUUACAAGUAUGGAGCAGAGCUGUACACCGUCACGGCUGCGGGUGGUAAUUAUUCAUCACAGGCAUAAGAGAAAAUGAUUGACAGGUGAUGGUGGACGCGCAAAAAUAAAAGAUGAAAAACUCCCCCUUAAUUAUUGUUAAUUUGCAUUAGGUGGCUUUAUCUAUUUGCGAAGUAAAGUGAUGUUAAUUAUCCCAUGUCCUCACAACAUCCCUUUACUCAGUGUUGAACGAUUCAGUGUUUUCUGCAUCUUAUAGGUUACAUCGUAUAAAAUGAAAAAUAUACAUAGAUGCUACAUAAAAUGCAAACAAAGGACAUUGUGUCAUUAAAAUACAAUUAUUGGUGGUUCAGGUUUUGUGUCCAUAGGGGCAGUGAAGGACUUUUCACCCUGUGUGCAUGUAUCAUUUGCGUGUCGGCGUAUGUGUUUUGCAUAUGGGCACCUGUCGCACUGUGGGCGGUAAAACAGGGUCCUUGUGUGUAAACUGUUUCUGUGUGUGCAUGUCUGUGUGUUUGCGUGUGUGUGUGUGUGCUCGUGUCCUUCCAGCACGAUGCUAAUUAUGUCAGCAGUAAUGCAUUUGCAAAUCUGCCACAUUCCCAGAAAUUUUCAGCGUUUCUGUUUUUCACUUGCUUUGUUUUUCUGCCAAUUCAAUCACACGUGCACGCGUGCGCGGAGAUUCUUUUCUCAGUGUGUUGGCAGCGUUUCUGCGAGUGUGUAAUUGUUGUCGGAUUUCAAU
ensembl:lncRNA